GGAAACUGAGGCUGAGAUGGCUUAAGUGAAAUGUUCCAAGAUCAUACAGCUACAGGUGUCAUGCCCUGGAAAUAUCUCUAUUCAGAGGUCCAUUUUCUUGAUUGGCUUAUGAGAGAAGUCCACCAUCUUGUCAGGACCUGUUCCUCAUAUUUAUUUAUUUAUUUUAAUUCAUGAUGAAUGACUACUAUCAUUGAGGAGUCAUUUCACUACUUCUUCUGACUUAUCCCCUUCAACUUCUGAUGACUCCUUUCUCCAUCUGAUGACAACUUGUUUCUUCUUCAUAUGAGCCCCUUUGAUCUCAAAGUGAAGAUCAAAAGCAGAAUUUGAGAAGCAGGAUAGUUGCUUGUCCAGCAGAAUAAUUCCCUCCUCUAAGUCUCAUCCUUCCCUUGUACACAUGGCCAAGAGUAAAUUAUAGUCAAUAUAUUUGCAUUUGAAAUCAUUUGUUCAGAAGAUAAUAUAUACCCAACUUAGGAGAGAUAUAAAGUAUUUUGUCAAUAAAGUGACAUUGCACCAUGUUUGGUCA
rnacentral:lncRNA from 1 species